rnacentral:rRNA from 1 species
GAUGAACGCUAGCUACAGGCUUAACACAUGCAAGUCGAGGGACUGGCGCACGGGUGAGUAACACGUACCCAACCUGCCCUUUACUCGGGGAUAGCCUUUCGAAAGAAACAUUAAUUCCCGAUAGAAAGGAUGGGGAUGCGUUCCAUUAGGUUGUUGGUAAGGUAACGGCCAAUCAAGCCUUCGAUGGAUAGGGGUUCUUAGAGGAAGGUCCCCCACAUUGGAACUGAGACACGGUCCAAACGCCUACGGGAGGCAGCAGUGAGGAAUAUUGGUCAAUGGGCGCUAGCCUGAACCAGCCAAGGAGCGUGAAGGAUGAAGGCUUAUGGGUCGUAAACUUCUUUUAUAUAAGAAUAUGUAUUAUAUGAAUAAGGAUCGGCUAACUCCGUGCCAGCCGCCGCGGUAAUAC